rnacentral:hammerhead_ribozyme from 1 species
GUACUACUGAAGAGUCCAAAAACUAGGACGAAACAGCGCUGGCUGUCCAGUAC